rnacentral:misc_RNA from 1 species
UCUUUUAAUGCUGAAGGAAGCAAAAUGGUUACCUGUAGUGAUGAUCUUACCCUAAAGAUAUGGGAGACAGAUAUUGGAAGGAUGGUAUCUGGUGAUGACCACACACCUUGGAGUCAUGUUUGCACUCUCUCGGGUUAUCAUGAUCGAACAAUUUUUUCGGUUGACUGGUCAAGGGAAGGCAUUAUAGUCAGUGGAGCGGCCGAUGAU